CCUACGGGAGGCAGCAGUGAGGAAUAUUGGUCAAUGGACGAGAGUCUGAACCAGCCAAGUAGCGUGAAGGAUGACUGCCCUAUGGGUUGUAAACUUCUUUUAUAUGGGAAUAAAAUGUUCCACGUGUGGGAUUUUGUAUGUACCAUAUGAAUAAGGAUCGGCUAACUCCGUGCCAGCAGCCGCGGUAAUACGGAGGAUCCGAGCGUUAUCCGGAUUUAUUGGGGUUAAAGGGAGCGUAGGUGGAUUGUUAAGUCAGUUGUGAAAGUUUGCGGCUCAACCGUAAAAUUGCAGUUGAAACUGGCAGUCUUGAGUACAGUAGAGGUGGGCGGAAUUCGUGGUGGAGCGGUGAAAUGCUUAGAUAUCACGAAGAACUCCGAUUGCGAAGGCAGUUCACUGGACUGCAACUGACACUGAGGCUCGAAAGUGUGGGUAUCAAACAGGAUUAGUUACCCCAGUAGUC
rnacentral:rRNA from 1 species